UCUUCCUCUGGGUGAUGAGAUGGCCAAAAAAAGUGUUAGUAGGUUUUAAUGGUGUUUGGAUGACAUUCAAGAUGUCGUGUCAGUUCAACCUGUGCCCGCCCUCACUCACUCUCAGAAGUGGAGUCUGAGCCUGCACCGCUGCAGAGGAGGACAAAGGAGAUUGCAACUUACUUCCACAACCACGACUUCAACCUUCACGUUCAGCGGCAGAUUUAGUUCGGCCUGGAAGUGCUUCACCAUGGCAACCAGCAGAUGAAUUGUGGCCAGGAGGUCUUUGUUGUGGAUGACUGACAGGCAAACAACAGAGAACAAAC